CCCUUAGAUGUUCGGGGCCGCACGCGCGCUACACUGAAAGAAUCAGCUGGUAAGUUGCUCCUGGCUUGGAAACGUCGGGCAACCCGUUGAAUCUCCUUCGUGCUAGGGAUUGGGGCUUGUAAUUCUUCCCCAUGAACGAGGAAUUCCCAGUAAGCGCGAGUCAUAAGCUCGCGUUGAUUACGUCCCUGCCCUUUGUACACACCGCCCGUCGCUACUAUCGAUUGAGCGGUUCAGUGAGGGCCUCGGAUUGGUCUCGGUCUGGCGUGCAAGCGCCGGCACCGUUGGCCGAGAAGACGCUCGAACUCGAUCGCUUGGAGAAAGUAAAAGUCGUAACA
rnacentral:rRNA from 1 species